rnacentral:tRNA from 1 species
AGGCCGCUAGCUCAGUUGGUAGAGCACAUGACUUUUAAUCAUGUGGUCGCGGGUUCGACUCCCGCGCGGCCUACCA